UGGUGGACACAAAUGGCAUAGUGUUUGGCUCAAGGAUUUUGGAUGCACGAGAAGUAUUCCCUCUCAAUACAAGGUUUAGGCUAGCAAGGCUAUUUGAAACAAACACAAGCAUGAACCGGUACAGCAAAACUUACAUAAGAACAUAUUGCAAGCAUUAUAAGACUAUACAUUGUCUUCCUUGUUGCUCAAACCCUUACCAGAAAAUAUCUAGACCUUAGAGAGACCAAUCAUGCAAACCAAAUUUUAGCAAGCUCUAUGUAUUUCUUCACUAAUAGGUGCAAAGUAUAUGAUGCAAGAGCUUAAACAUGAGCACAACAAUUGCCAAGUAUCACAUUAUUCAAGACAUCAUACCAAUUACUACAUGUAGCACUUCCCGUUUCCAACCAUACAACAAUUAACGAAGCAGUUUCAACCUUCGCCAUGAACAUUAAAAGCUAAGAACACAUGUGUUCAUAUGAACCAGCAGAGCGUGUCUCUCUCCCACACAAUCUUUUAUUCAAACAAAAACAAAAACAAAAACAUACAGACGCUCCAAGUAAAGUACAUAAGAUGUGACCGAAUAAAAAUAUAGUUUCAAGAGAAGGAACCUGAUAAUUUGUCGAUGAAGAAGGGGGUGCCUUGGGCAUCCCCAAGCUUAGUUGCUUGAGUCUUCUUGAAAUAUGCAGGGAUGAACCACCGGGGCAUCCCCAAGCUUAGACUUUUCACUCUUCUUGAUCACAUUGUAUCAUCCUCCUCUCUUGACCCUUGAAAACUUCCUCCACACCAAACUCGAAACAAACUCAUUAGAGGGUUAGUGCAUAAUCAAAAUUCACAUGUUCAGAGGUGACACAAUCAUUCUUAACACUUCUGGACAUUGCUCAAAGCUACUGGAAGUUAAUGGAACAAAGGAAUCCGUCCAACAUAGCAAAAGAAGCAAUGCGAAAGAAAAGGCAGAAUCUGUCAAAACAGAACAGUCCGUAAAGAUGAAUUUUUAAGAGGCACCAGACUUGCUCAAAUGAAAAUGCUCAAAUUUAAUGAAAGUUGCGUACAUAUCUGAGGAUCACUCACGUAAAUUUACAGAAUUUUCUGAGUUACCUACAGAGAACCCUGUCCAAAUUCGUGACAGACAGAAAUCUAUUUCUGCGCAGUAAUCCAAAUCUAGUAUCAACCUUACUAUCAAAGACUUUACUUCGCACAACAAUGCAAUAAAAUAAAGAUAAGUAGAGGUUGUUACAGUAGUAACAACUUCCAAGACACAAAUAUAAAACAAAGUUGCUAUAGCAAAAUAAACACAUGGGUUAUCUCCCAAGAAGUGCUUUCUUUAUAGCCAUUAAGAUGGGCUCAGCAGUUUUAAUGAUGCACUCGCAAGAAGUAAGCGUUGAAGCAAAAGAGAGCAUCAAGAGGCAAAUUCAAAACACAUUAAGUCUAACCCACUUCCUGUGCAAAUGAAUCUUGUACACAAAUGAAUUCAUGAAAAACAAAGUGACAAGCAUAAGAGGAUAAAACACGAGUAACUUCAAGAUUCUCAACAUAAAGAGGGGAAACUUAAUAUUAUUAAGAUGCAUAUAACCAUGUUUCCCUCUCUCAUAAUAACUUUCAGUAGCAUCAUUGAUGAAAUCCAUAAUAUACCCAUCACUUAAAACAUUCUUAUCAUGGUUCAUAUGCAUAGAAGUUAUAUCCUAUAUAAAGCGUUGCAGAUUUCACGCUCUCCUCUUUCUUCACACACUGUAUAUGCGCUAUUUUUCUUCCUUCCCAUCCAUAGGCAUCCUGCCACGUUUUAUAUUUCUUUCUCUCCAGUUGGUGAUCGGUUUGUUUUUUCCUUUUUUCUAGGCAUCUGGUUGACCGGCAAACGGGUCUUAGUAAAGAUAGAGAUUUCUCCCGCGCUAAAAUGGCAUUAUCACCUCUCCCCGGUAAUUCCCUUUUCUUUUCUCGGCCUCUCCGUGAUCGUGGGUUCAUAACUGCUUGGUUUGCCACGUUAUUACUGCUGCACUGCUACGUGUUGGCUUCACAUUUUCAGCAACCGUCUUGCCUUCUCUUUUUUCCCGAUUUUUUCUUAUUUUCCUCCCUGCCAUUCAAUUCUGUUACGCUUCCUGCUGGGGUUUACCCACGAAAACUCCGGCGCCUGCAUCUUCCCCAGUUCCCCUUGCCGAUCUGCGCCCGCCAUACACGACGGGCGAUCGUGCUGCUUCUUCUGCGUCUCCUCUUUCUUCCUGCCUUCUACGUUUUCCUUUCUUCUCCUUGCUUUAUAAUGGUGUAAUGUUGCCCGGUUUCUUCUUCUUCGGCAGGUAGUCCAUGAACACACGCGGUUUUGCUGGCCGUCGGCGUCGCCGCGGCCGCCCUCCGUCCUCUUCUCAUUCUCCGACUCCGUCUCGCCGCCGUAGCCUUCAUGCUCUGCCUCCGCGUCCGCCUCCUGCCGGUGCUGCUUCUGAUGGUGACCGUCUGCGUCAUGGGAGACCUCCAGGUCGUGGCCGUUCUCGAGGACAUCCGCGCUCGAUCCUCCCUCCAAAUUUCGAUCUGAUGCCCAUGCCUGCGCCGUCUCUGCCCCUGUUCUAUGCCGUUUCUCCUACAGCGCCGGCCACUGUUACGGCUUCUUCUUCGUCCACGACUCAGAGUGAUGUUUUGCCUUUGAUGACUGAUUUAACACAUGCAGAAAUUGAGAGGAGACUCGGCAAGCGAUCGGUCAUCGAUUCAUCCUCUGGUGCUGCUGCCUUCUACUCAUUUUUGCCUAGCCAUUCCUGUGACCUUUCUUCUCCGUCCCAGCCUACAGCAUCGUGGGAGCAACAUGGAUGCUUUGAGAUUUUGAUGCCUCACAAGUGUUUGUUGUUAUGCCUAUAAAAACCAAAAAAGUGUAUUCUUGGAUUUAUCAUUUGAUCUGUAUAGGUUAAAGUAAUGUAUUCAGCUGAUUAACUCAUCUGCAUAAGAUGCAGUGCAUCUGGGUUUCCUUAUUCUCUUUUCUAGCUUUCAUAUCUUAUGGCUAUUGGGAGCGAUCUGACAAUCUGAUUUUUGCUCUGUAGGAUUCUGCAAUCAAAUGUUUUGGCUAAUUAUAUAGUUUUUCAUGGACGCAAUGGAGAGUGCCUUUUUCUGGCUAAUGAGUAAUGAUGCAAAGUAUAGAAGAAGAAAGACAUGAAAGUUUCAUGGUCAAAGACAUAUUGCCUUGAUCUCAUUAUUUAUUAAUGGAAGGUUCUUGUCCGUCUUUCCUGUAUCUGGGAAUGCAGAUAUCAGUAAACACGCAACAAAACGUAGAUGAGUUAGAUUUCAUCGCUGUAAACCAUGAGCUUCUGAUAUUAUGAAGAAAUAGUUGCCACAAAUGCUAAUCUAGCGGGCAUUCUCAACCUCCUUAAUCAUACUACGUACUUUAUGAGGUAAUUUCUGCCAGGGUGCUAUGCGAACAAGCGGUAAAUCUAAUUCGUAUUUAGCUGGACACGUUUGUGAAUUUAUUGAGUCAGAAUGUACAUGUCCAGGUACGAGUUCAGCUGCUGAAUGACUAUGCAUUCUUGGUUUAUAGAGUAAGAUGCCUGGAUUCAUACAGGAGAGCUGGAGCUUAUCCAAUGGACGUCUGAGUAUGCUUCAGUUAUUUGUGGGGUCACGACAGCUUGAGCUACCUGGUUUGCACUGCAACUUAAAUUCAGCACCAGUGAUUGGAUACAUACUGGAUCAGUGAAAUAGCAUGAGGCAGUUACAGAUGACAGCAAGUCGGACCUUGGCAAAGCUAUCACAGCAUGCUCCAGACCAAGAUGCUGCCAUUGCGACCUACGGACUUGACCAUUCUGUAGUAACUGUAAGCUCUAUAAAUUUAUCAGUGUACUAUUUUCGUUUUUUAAAAGCCAUAUUCCCUUUCUAUGGACUAUAUUAUAAGUUAGUACCUCGAUGUUGAAUCGUAGUAUGCCAGGUUUUCAAGACUAUUGCUCUAUAUAACUUUAAGCCAGUUCUGAAGACACA